rnacentral:rRNA from 1 species
AGUGAACGCUGGCGGUAGGCCUAACACAUGCAAGUCGAACGGCAGCACAGUAAGAGCUUGCUCUUACGGGUGGCGAGUGGCGGACGGGUGAGGAAUACAUCGGAAUCUACUUUUUCGUGGGGGAUAACGUAGGGAAACUUACGCUAAUACCGCAUACGACCUACGGUUGAAAGCAGGGGAUCUUCGGACCUUGCGCGAUUGAAUGAGCCGAUGUCGGAUUAGCUAGUUGGCGGGGUAAAGGCCCACCAAGGCGACGAUCCGUAGCUGAUCUGAGAGGAUGAUCAGCCACACUGGAACUGAGACACGGUCCAGACUCCUACGGGAGGCAGCAGUGGGGAAUAUUGGACAAUGGGCGAAAGCCUGAUCCAGCCAUCCCGCGUGGGUGAAGAAGGCCUUCGGGUUGUAAAGCCCUUUUGUUGGGAAAGAAAAGCAGCAGGUUAAUACCCCGCUGUUCUGACGGUACCCAAAGAAUAAGCAACGGCUAACUUCGUG